GACGAACGCUGGCGGCGCGCCUAACACAUGCAAGUCGAGCGAGAACCAGCCCUUCGGGGCUGGGGACAGCGGCGAACGGGUGAGUAACACGUGGGUGAUCUACCCUCGGUUCUGGGAUAGCCCGGGGAAACCCGGAUUAAUACCGGAUGGCCUUUCGUAGUCUUCGGACCUGAAAGAAAAGGUAAGCUUCGGCCUCCGACCGAGGAUGAGCCCGCGGCCGAUUAG
rnacentral:rRNA from 1 species